ACUCACCACCACUGUCACCAAAAUGAACUGGCAGCUUAACGUCUUCUACGAGGUGUUCAUCGAGGAGGGCACUUUCCUCUUCACCUCAGAGUCUGUGGGGGAAGGCCAUCCAGAUAAGAUUUGUGACCAGAUCAAUGAUGCUGUCCUUGAUGCCAACCUUCAGCAGGACCCAGAUGCCAAAGUGGCUUGUGAAACUAUUGCUAAAACUGGAAUGAUCCUUCUUGGUGGAGAAAUUACAUACAGAGCUGCUGUUGACUACCAGAAAGUAGUUCAUGAAAUCAUUAAACACAUUGACUAUGAUGACUCUUCCAAAGGGGUUUGACUACAAGACUUCUAAUGUUUUGGUAGCCUUGGAGCAACAGUCACCAGACAUUGCUCAAAGCUGUUCAUCUUGAUCAGAAUGAGGAGGACACUGGUGCAGGAGAGCAGGGCUUGAUGUUUGGUUAUGACACUGAUGAAACUGAAGAAUGUAUGCCUUUAACAAUUGUCUUAGUACACAGGAUCAAUGCCAAACUUGCUGAACUACACCACAAUGACACUUUGCCUUGGUUGCACCCAGAAUCUAAAACUCAAGUGACUGUGCAGUAUGUGCAGGAUCGAGACGCUGUGCUUCCCAUCAAAGUCCAUAUAAUUGUUCCGCAUAAUGAAGAAGUUUGUCUUGAUGAGCUGAGGGAUGCUCUAAAGGAGAAAAUCAUCAAAGCAGUUGUACCUGUGAAGUAUCUUGAUGAGGGCACAAUCCACCACCUACAGUCAAGUGGCAGAUUUAUUAUUGGUGGGCCUCAGGGUGAUGCUGGUUUGACUGGCCAGAAGAUCAUUGUGGACACUUACGGUGGUUGGGGAGCUCACAGAGGAGGUGCCUUUUCAGGAAAGGAUUAUACCAAGGUGCACAGUUGAACUGCUUAUGCUGCUCGUUGGGUGGCAAAAUCCCUUGCUAAAGGAGGUCUGUGCAGAAGGGUUCUUGUUCAGGUCUCUUAUGCUAUUGGAGUUUCUCACCCAGUCUAUCUCCAUUUUCCAUUAUGGCACCUCUCAGAAGAGUGAGAGAGAGCUAUUACAGAUCGUGAAGAAGAAUUUUGACUUCCGCCCUGGGGUCAUUGUCAGGGAUCUGGAUCUGAAGAAGCCAAUUUAUCAGAGGACUGAAGCCUAUGGCCACUUUGGUAGGGACGGCUUCCCAUGGGAAAUUCCCAAAAAGCUUAAAUAUUGAAAAGCGUUAGCCUUUUUUCCCCAGACUUGUUGGCGUAGGCUACAGAGAAGCCUUCAAGCUCUCAGGGAAAGGGCCCUUCUUCUGAAAUUUUUCUGUCCUCUUUCAGCUCCUGAUCAGUUGCAGUCACUGUAGUUAAUGACAUGAAUUUUAGUUUUUGUGGGGUAUUGUAUAAGCUGAGCUUGCUACUCUAUCCCUGGUGUUUUGUUCAUCAUUAUAAUGAAUUUGGUGAGCAUAGGUGAUCCAACUGCCUAGGAACAGACAACACUGUAGUAAAUAAUGCUUUGAAAUUGAGCCUUUGUGGCCUACCACCUAAACCUCUAAAAUCCUAAUUGCGUUGAAUUUC